rnacentral:tmRNA from 2 species
GGGGGUGUAAUGGCUUCGACAUGUAUUAUGCGGUUUACAAGGCAGUAGUCUGCAGACUAUAAGGCGCUAGGCAACCUAAACGGAAACCAAGAAAAAGAAGAGUUUGAAUAUUCAAACUUAAUGAUUGCUAAAAACAAUCAAGCAGCAAAUCUUUUAUUUGCAUACUAAAAUAAAAGUCAUUGAUUAGUUUUCUCAGCUAAUUAUAUGUGUCAGAGAUCGCUUUAAACGAGGAUGGCGUAGUUUGAAGUUAAAUUUAGCCUUUGCAAUAUUUAACAAUCUGUUCAUCUGUGUUAUUUAUUAAGACUUCUAGAUGGAAUAAACUGUAGAAUUGUGGCUUUAGUAAUAUUUGGACCCGGGUUCAACUCCCGGCAUCUCCACCA